AGCGGAGUGGGGAAGUCUGGAGUUCCCGGGGGGCUCAUAACCCUCAGGUCGUUGGUUCAAAUCCAACCUCCGCUA
rnacentral:tRNA from 1 species